GUCGCUACCUGUGGCAAACCCUAUGUCGCUACCUGUGGCAAACCCUAUGUCGCUACCUGUGGCAAACCCUAUGUCGUUACCUGUGGCAAACCCUAUGUCGUUACCUGUGGCAAACCCUAUGUCGUUACCUGUGGCAAACCCUAUGUCGUUACCUGUGGCAAACCCUAUGUCGUUACCUGUGGCAAACCCUAUGUCGUUACCUGUGGCAAACCCUAUGUCGUUACCUGUGGCAAACCCUAUGUCGUUACCUGUGGCAAACCCUAUGUCAUUACCUGUGGCACUCUGUGCCCACAUACUCAUUUUGUAUUAAUAAGCAUCAACAACAAAACUAGAAAAGGUAUAUUUCCAGAGAAGAAUUAUGUGUGCAUGCAUUAGCUGUCCUAAAAUAACACACCCUUUGUUCCAUGUGUAAGGUUCUCCUGGUCUGCCCGGUCCAGGGGAGAAAGAGGCUACUCUGGACUACCAGGGCCAAGAAGGGGCCGCUGGGACAUCUAGCUGAAACGAACACACAUUUUGAUCUUCACCAAGUGAUACAGAAGCUCUGGAAAGGCUGUGAGGUCUCAAUAAACGCAAUUGACAGGUGGCAGGUCUGAGAGGUGAAGAAGGUCCAGCAGGAUCAGAUGCCCAUGUUCCUCGUUUAGGCGCAUAAAAACCCAGACCGGCCCAAACCAGGACCCACUACAGUACGGUGUAAAUACCACAAAAUACAAUGCACCACAACCUAACAGAAGAAUCAAUGCACCACAACCUGACAGAAGGAACAAUGCACCACAACCUAA